UUCAUCAGCAAAAACGCCAUAGGAGGUCUGAAACAAGCUGGUUUCUCAUAUUUUUAUACCAUAUCAGGAAUCCGAAGAUAAACGCGGAAAAGAGAAAGUAUCAAACUAGCCUUUGAACUUUUACAACUCCUACAAAUUGGCCCAGAUUGACGUAUAUAUAUAUGUUUGGAGGAUCGGAUCUACAUCAAGGAUCACACUAUCCAGAUUUACUCUGGUAGAUUUUGUUAAACAACUUUUUGAUUUAUAUGGCAUGUAUAGGGAU